GUCGAACGGGCGUAGCAAUACGUCAGUGGCAGACGGGUGAGUAACGCGUGGGAACGUACCUUUUGGUUCGGAACAACACAGGGAAACUUGUGCUAAUACCGGAUAAGCCCUUACGGGGAAAGAUUUAUCGCCGAAAGAUCGGCCCGCGUCUGAUUAGCUAGUUGGUGAGGUAAUGGCUCACCAAGGCGACGAUCAGUAGCUGGUCUGAGAGGAUGAUCAGCCACAUUGGGACUGAGACACGGCCCAAACUCCUACGGGAGGCAGCAGUGGGGAAUAUUGGACAAUGGGGGCAACCCUGAUCCAGCCAUGCCGCGUGAGUGAUGAAGGCCCUAGGGUUGUAAAGCUCUGUUGUGCGGGAAGAUAAUGACGGUACCGCAAGAAUAAGCCCCGGCUAACUUCGUGCCAGCAGCCGCGGUAAUACGAAGGGGGCUAGCGUUGCUCGGAAUCACUGGGCGUAAAGGGGGCGUAGGCGGGUUU
rnacentral:rRNA from 1 species